CGGAUCUCAAUGGGGGGCAUCCUGCGUCAGCCAAGCAACUGCCACUGAGAUGAAAUGUAAAUGCUAAUUGGUGGCUUUCAUCAGAUGUCAUCUCAGAGUUUUAUUUGGGGAUCUGAGAAGCCCAGCUUGUCAAAACUGGUGUCUGGCCCGUGGGGAACGGAUGGCUCAUCUCCAGUAUGUGCUCCCAGCUGAAAGCAGUCAACAAGCUCUGCUGUAACUGAGCCAAUUUUUCAAAGCGUUCCGCUGAUGUGAUUGGUAUCGUCCUCGGGCUGGAUGGGUCCACUCUCAGUGACGGGGGAGGGAAGGUUAGUCUGUCUUACCUGAGGAUAGUGAGACCUUUCUGUAAUCUACUCAGGGAGAAAAUUAUGGAGCUCAAUUUAAGGCUUACCCCAUGAAAUUAACACCCCCAGCUCUCUUUUCUGCUUCGAAGAGUGAAUUUUUUUUUUUUUUUUUGAUAGAAUAGCUUGCCUCUUUGAAACUUCCAGAGUGAAAGGUUUUUGACUUUAUUUUGGUUUUAUCUUUAAAAGUCCAGGAGAUGAUCGGGUUCUGUAAAUUGUUAUGGAACACAAUAACAUAAAGUUUAUUUAAAGCCAUAAAAUCAAAGCAUCAAAUGGGUCAUAUGAUGUUGCUAAAAAGAACAUUAUUUUGUGUAUUUGGUGUAAUGAAAUGGGUUUAUGUGAUUUAAGUUUCAAAAAACACAUUAUUUCUUUGUGUGAACAUUUAGGCGGUGUUAUGCAAAUCUUCCCACACAGUGAUGUAGACGUGGGGGCAUGUUUAAACAAGCCGUUUUAGGUAGGCGUGGUUGAUUCUUAACUUUUAUAAAGAAUAUCUCUUUGGAUUUUAGUCUUUAUUAUUUGUAACUUUACAGAUCUUCUUUAUGCACCAAUAGCUUGUAACACUCCAAAGAAAAAGGAAAAAAUUACCCCUUUAACCUUUACCUACAGUAUAUACAGAAGCAAGCAUCAGAUUUAUAUUACAUGGUAAUAAUGCAUUAACCCAUCUUCAGUCAGU
ensembl:lncRNA